CCCCACCUUCUGCUCUCUCUCUCUCUCUCUCUCUCUCUCUCUCUCCCAUUCCCUUCCUCCCUUCCGUCGCCACCUCUUUCCCCCCUCCAGAUCAACCUCUCCACCUCGUCCCUCUCUCUGCUCUCCCUCUGUACCUCCACCUCACGCGCCCCUCUCUCUCUCUCCCUCUCCUCUCUGCGAGCCCGCCGCCACCCUCACCAUGGCGUCAUCCCCCACCGCCAGCAACCGGGAUCCGGCCUCCCUCGCACAGCAGCGGCGGGAUCCCUGGGCUGUCAGUCCAGAACCAGAGAUUCAGUUCAGAGCCCGAAGUUGCAGAGCGUGAGCAACUCCAUGUCGGCGUCGACGUGCUUGGUCCAGAGACGCUUGUGCUGGUUAAAGGCGACGUCGAGCCACAGCUUCAUGUCCCUGUUGAAGUGUACCACGGCCGCUCCCCUGAUGUCAUCUGGCCUAACGUGCGGCUUGCAUCCCAGCGGGAUCCGGCCUCCCAUGCCGCUCAGCCGCCGGAUCUGGCCUCCCCCACCCCUCGCCGCCCGUCAGUCGUGAGAUAUCAAGUACGGCGCCGCCUGACCCGACCCCGCGCACGCGCCGUCGGAUCCAGCGCCCCCGACUCCUCUCCCGCUCGCGGGUGGAGAGGAGGAGCUCGUCGCUGCCAUCAUGGAGACGCUGGGCUGCCGUUGCUUGACGAGGAUUCCGUGCGGAGCUGACCCUGGACUGCCGUGCCGUGGGUUCGGUGCGCGGCCAUGGAGGGCGGCACGCCGGUUCUUGCCACUGCCGGUUCUCGAUUUUGUGGUUCUAGGUUUUUGUUUAUGUGAUUCGUUUCUGUGGUGAGAUCUGUGAUCCUGUGAGUUUCCAUUUCGUGAUUUGUGAAUUGUUGAAUGGACGACCAAAAUUUGCAGGCCCGUGGCCUGCUUUUUUUUUAAAAUAAUGAAAAUGUUAUCGGUGGCGGGCACAAAAUGUAAUCGACAGUGAUAGGUGCAUCAUUACUAACGACCGAAGCACCCGCCAGUGAUGUACCCCACAUCGCAGGCAGCAAAUUUGUAACAGACGGCCCGUCUGUUGGCGUUUUGCGCCCGUUACUGAUGUGCUCUUUUGUAGUAGUGUAUAGUGACAUAUUUGCAUCUACCGAUGUGCCCUUUUGUAGUAGUGUAUAGUGACAUAUUUGCAUCUAUGCAACACAAGCAAUCGUUAUCUUUCAAGA